rnacentral:lncRNA from 1 species
AUGGGAGAGUCACAGUUCAUGUCAUCCUUGCUUGCAUUGUUGCUGCCACUGGAGGGUCUCUAUUUGGCUAUGAUGUUGGUAUUUCAGGUUCUGCACUAUUUCCACCUUCACUUUUAGCUUCUUCUAUAAUCCAUUAUCUUGAAUAAGAAUUUUAUUACACAAUAUAAAAACUUACUGUGAUUGAAAGAUGAAACUGCAGGAAAGAAGGUGAAAAGAGAAAUGCAUGUGUUAAACAUUCUGUGUUCUUUAAAAAUCAAACCGAAGUUAACUGCCAUUGUCCAUUGUUCAGUUAUUUGAACCGUUCAACCACAGUUUCAUCUAUGUUUAAAUGCUUUAAGGCAAAUGAACCAUGACUUGAAGGUCUCGUCAGUUCAAUUUCAAGUUUGAUAUUUAAACUAUUGCAUGAUUUAUGUCUUAGAAAGAUUAUGCAACUUUUCAAUCAGUUCUUUCUUCGUUCUGCAGUCUUGUUUAUAUACCAAUUUGAAGUGUUUAAAUCCACCAUCCCUUAUACUAAGAUGCAGUUCCCCCAGAUUAAAACCAGAUCCAGGCAGAUUCACUUCAUAAAAAUUUUUUUAAAAAAAUUAACUGUAAUGGUAAAUUAACAAACCUUGCAUCAAAUCGCAUGAUAGUGGUAUCAAUUAUUUUGAUUCUGACCUUCCAAAUUUAAUUGCAUUAUAUCAUUUGUAUGAUAAUGUUAAAUUAACGUUAUCAUACAAAUGAUAUGAUGCAGUUAAAUUUGAUUCAAAUCAAGUUUUGGGACUAGGCAUGUAUCUAUUAGGCCAAGAAUUUACUAAAUUAAAAACAAUGUAAGUGUAAACAUUAAUAUACUCGUUAUGUUAAGAAUUUAAGUCAAGAUAUGAUGUCUAAAUGGCUAUUAUUGUCUGUAACUUAUUCACGUUCAUAGAUAUCUCCCCUUUUCCAUUAAUCAAUUUGAGAGUUUAGUUUAGCACUUGAGAAUUAAGAUUGAAUACACAGCUAUCUCAGUGACUAUAUGCUUUUAUCGAAAUAAGCAUGCGUCAUUGUACAUAUUACCAUUUUUCUUGUCAGAAUAUGUAAAUAAGAAUAAUCUUUACAGCCAUUUAUCGAAACAUUGAUGCAUGUAUCAUGGUUAACAGGAGGAGUUACUUCUAUGGAUGACUUUCUUCUUAAGUUUUUCCCAUCAGUAUACAAACAAAAAAUGCACGCACAUGAAAACAACUACUGCAAGUAUAACAAUCAGGUCCUUGCAGCAUUUACCUCUGUUUUAUACAUUUCUGGUUUAGUUGCAUCCUUGGUGGCAUCUACGAUUACAAGGAAAUAUGGACGGAAAAUAAGUAUCAUAGUUGGUGGUAUCAGUUUUCUCAUCGGAUCAAUUCUGAAUGCUGCAGCUGCUAAUCUAGGAAUGCUUAUCAUAGGUCGAAUUCUGCUUGGUGUAGGCAUUGGUUUUGGAGAUCAGGUAGUGAAAGUUUUCCUAUAACCUUUAGAUUCUUAUGCAAAUACAAACUUUUUUUUUUAUGUAAAACAUUGGUAUAUAAAAAGAGCAAUCAAACAACUAAUUCGUGUGUACAGCCAAGCUCUAAAGUCUAGAUAACCAAAGUAUCAAACAUUCAAUUGAUUUGAGAUAAGGUUUUAUGGAGUUAAAGGAUCAGGGUUCAAACCUGAAGAAAAUACUUAUGUAACAACUAAUAUACUUACGCUGUUGAUUAGGCGGGUUCAUAAAAUUUUACAAGAAAAAAAGUAGCAAUGAGAUGACACAGUGAAUGGUUCAAUAAAGUAUGUUUGAGUUAGAAGAUAAUACAGUUAUACCUUACAGUUGAGAAAUUACUAUAGUUAUUCCUUUCCUCCUGAAUCUUGAUGUUUCUUUUGAAGGCGAUUCCUCUUUACUUGUCAGAGAUGGCG